CUCUGCGUCCUGGGGCUAAAC
rnacentral:tRNA from 1 species